rnacentral:rRNA from 1 species
AUUGAACGCUGGCGGCAGGCCUAACACAUGCAAGUCGAACGAGUGGCGGACGGGUGAGUAAUGUCUGGGAAACUGCCCGAUGGAGGGGGAUAACUACUGGAAACGGUAGCUAAUACCGCAUACCAUCAGAUGUGCCCCGAUGGGCUUAGCUAGUAGGUGGGGUAAUGGCUCACCUAGGCGACGAUCCCUAGCUGGUCUGAGAGGAUGACCAGCCACACUGGAACUGGGACACGGUCCAUAGUCCUACGGUAGGCAGCAGUGGGGAAUAUUGCACAAUGGGCGCAAGCCUGAUGCAGCCAUGCCGCGGGUAUGAAGAAGGCCUUCGGGUUGUAAAGUACUUUCAGCGGGGAGGCGUUACCCGCAGAAGAAGCACCGGCUAACUCCGUGCCAGCAGCCGCGGUAAUUC